rnacentral:rRNA from 1 species
GACGAACGCUGGCGGCGUGCUUAACACAUGCAAGUCGAACGGAAAGGCCCUGCUUUUGUGGGGUGCUCGAGUGGCGAACGGGUGAGUAACACGUGAGUAACCUGCCCUUGACUUUGGGAUAACUUCAGGAAACUGGGGCUAAUACCGGAUAGGAGCUCCUGCUGCAUGGUGGGGGUUGGAAAGUUUCGGCGGUUGGGGAUGGACUCGCGGCUUAUCAGCUUGUUGGUGGGGUAGUGGCUUACCAAGGCUUUGACGGGUAGCCGGCCUGAGAGGGUGACCGGCCACAUUGGGACUGAGAUACGGCCCAGACUCCUACGGGAGGCAGCAGUGGGGAAUAUUGCACAAUGGGCGGAAGCCUGAUGCAGCAACGCCGCGUGCGGGAUGACGGCCUUCGGGUUGUAAACCGCUUUCGCCUGUGACGAAGCGUGAGUGACGGUAAUGGGUAAAGAAGCACCGGCUAACUACGUGCCAGCAGCCGCGGUGAUACGUAGGGUGCGAGCGUUGUCCGGAUUUAUUGGGCGUAAAGGGCUCGUAGGUGGUUGAUCGCGUCGGAAGUGUAAUCUUGGGGCUUAACCCUGAGCGUGCUUUCGAUACGGGUUGACUUGAGGAAGGUAGGGGAGAAUGGAAUUCCUGGUGGAGCGGUGGAAUGCGCAGAUAUCAGGAGGAACACCAGUGGCGAAGGCGGUUCUCUGGGCCUUUCCUGACGCUGAGGAGCGAAAGCGUGGGGAGCGAACAGGCUUAGAUACUCUGGUAGUCCACGCUGUAAACGGUGGGUACUAGGUGUGGGGUCCAUUCCACGGGUUCCGUGCCGUAGCUAACGCUUUAAGUACCCCGCCUGGGGAGUACGGCCGCAAGGCUAAAACUCAAAGGAAUUGACGGGGCCCCGCACAAGCGGCGGAGCAUGCGGAUUAAUUCGAUGCAACGCGUAGAACCUUACCUGGGUUUGACAUGGAUCGGGAGUGCUCAGAGAUGGGUGUGCCUCUUUUGGGGUCGGUUCACAGGUGGUGCAUGCCUGUCGUCAGCUCGUGUCGUGAGAUGUUGGGUUAAGUCCCGCAACGAGCGCAACCCUUGUUCACUGUUGCCAGCACGUUAUGGUGGGGACUCAGUGGAGACCGCCGGGGUCAACUCGGAGGAAGGUGGGGAUGACGUCAAGUCAUCAUGCCCCUUAUGUCCAGGGCUUCACGCAUGCUACAAUGGCUGGUACAGAGAGUGGCGAGCCUGUGAGGGUGAGCGAAUCUCGGAAAGCCGGUCUCAGUUCGGAUUGGGGUCUGCAACUCGACCUCAUGAAGUCGGAGUCGCUAGUAAUCGCAGAUCAGCAACGCUGCGGUGAAUACGUUCCCGGG